UAACUACGUGCCAGCAGCCGCGGUAAUACGUAGGUGGCAAGCGUUGUCCGGAAUUACUGGGUGUAAAGGGAGCGUAGGCGGGAUGCCAAGUCAGCUGUGAAAACUAUGGGCUUAACUUGUAGACUGCAGUUGAAACUGGUAUUCUUGAGUGAAGUAGAGGUUGGCGGAAUUCCGAGUGUAGCGGUGAAAUGCGUAGAUAUUCGGAGGAACACCGGUGGCGAAGGCGGCCAACUGGGCUUUAACUGACGCUGAGGCUCGAAAGUGUGGGGAGCAAACAGGAUUAGAUACCCUGGUAGUCCACACUGUAAACGAUGAUAACUAGGUGUGGGGGGUCUGACCCCUUCCGUGCCGCAGCUAACGCAAUAAGUUAUCCACCUGGGGAGUACGACCGCAAGGUUGAAACUCAAAGGAAUUGACGGGGACCCGCACAAGCAGUGGAUUAUGUGGUUUAAUUCGAAGCAACGCGAAGAACCUUACCAGCACUUGACAUCCGACUAACGAAGUAGAGAUACAUUAGGUGCCCUUCGGGGAAAGUCGAGACAGGUGGUGCAUGGUUGUCGUCAGCUCGUGUCGUGAGAUGUUGGGUUAAGUCCCGCAACGAGCGCAACCCCUGCCAUUAGUUGCUACGCAAGAGCACUCUAAUGGGACCGCUACCGACAAGGUGGAGGAAGGUGGGGACGACGUCAAAUCAUCAUGCCCCUUAUGUGCUGGGCUACACACGUAAUACAAUGGCCAUCAACAAAGAGAAGCAAUACCGCGAGGUGGAGCAAAACUAUAAAAAUGGUCUCAGUUCGGACUGCAGGCUGCAACCCGCCUGCACGAAGUUGGAAUUGCUAGUAAUCGUGGAUCAGCAUGCCACGGUGAAUACGUUCCCGGGUCUUGUACACACCGCCCGUCACACCAUGGGAGUUGGUAACACCCGAAGUCAGUAGUCUAACCGCAAGGAGGACGCUGCCGAAGGUGGGAUUGACGACUGGGGUGAAGUCGUAACAAGGUAGCCGUAUCAGAAGGUGCGGCUG
rnacentral:rRNA from 1 species